rnacentral:snoRNA from 1 species
CAGCAGGAUUUAGACUACAAUAUAGCUGCUAAGUGCUGUGCUGUCAUUCCCCCUGCUUAAAUUAAGGUUGUUUCUUUUUUUUUUUUUUUGGUCGGUCUUGGGCCUUGAACUC